rnacentral:rRNA from 1 species
GGGAGGCGCGAUGAUGCCUCUGCCGACGAUCGGCGCACGGGUGCGUAACGCGUAUGGAACCUGCCCCUGUCAGGGGAUAGCCCAGAGAAUUUGCCUUAAUGCCCCAUGGCAUCCAAUUACCGCAUGGUGAUUUGAUUAAUAAUUUAUCGGACAGGAAUGGCCCUGCGUACCCGUAGCUUGUUGGUGGGGUAACGGCCCACCAAGGCCACAAUGGUAACGGGCCCUGAAAGGGGAAUCCCCCCCACUGGUACUGAGACACGUACCAAACUCCUACGGGAGGCAGCAGUGAGGAAUAUUGGACAAUGGCCGGAAGGUUGAUCCAGCCAUGCCGCGUGCAGGAUGACGGCCCUAUGGUUUGUAAACUGCUUUUACACGGGAAGAAACCUCCCCUCGUGAGGCGAGCUGACGGUACCGUGAGAAUAAAGACCGGCUAACUCCGUGCCAGCAGCCGCGGUAAUACUUAGGGUCCGAGCGUUAUACGGAAUCAUUGGGUUUAAAGGGUCCGUAGGCGGGCCUGUAACUCAGGUGUGAAAGGCCACGGCUCAACCGUGGGACUGCCCUUGAUACUGCUGUCUCGAGUUAUAAUGGGAUUGCCGUAACAUGUGUUGUAUGUCCUCAACUGAAUAUAUAUCACAUAGAACACCGAUCGC